GAUGAACGCUAGCGGGAGGCCUAACACAUGCAAGCCGAGCGGUAUUGUUUCUUCGGAAAUGAGAGAGCGGCGUACGGGUGCGGAACACGUGUGCAACCUGCCUUUAUCUGGGGGAUAGCCUUUCGAAAGGAAGAUUAAUACUCCAUAAUAUAUUGAACGGCAUCGUUUAAUAUUGAAAGCUCCGGCGGAUAGAGAUGGGCACGCGCAAGAUUAGCUAGUUGGUGAGGUAACGGCUCACCAAGGCGAUGAUCUUUAGGGGGCCUGAGAGGGUGAUCCCCCACACUGGUACUGAGACACGGACCAGAAUCCUACGGGAGGCAGCAGUGAGGAAUAUUGGUCAAUGGGUGCAAGCCUGAACCAGCCAUCCCGCGUGAAGGACGACUGCCCUAUGGGUUGUAAACUUCUUUUGUAUAGGGAUAAACCUACCCUCGUGAGGGUAGCUGAAGGUACUAUACGAAUAAGCACCGGCUAACUCCGUGCCAGCAGCCGCCGUAAUAC
rnacentral:rRNA from 1 species